AUUGAACGCUGGCGGCAGGCCUAACACAUGCAAGUCGAACGGUAACAGGAAGCUGCUUGCUGCUUCGCUGACGAGUGGCGGACGUGUGAGUAAUGUCUGGGAAACUGCCUGAUGGAGGGGGAUAACUACUGGAAACGGUUGCUACUACCGCAUAACGUCGCAAGACCAAAGAGGUGGACCUUAGGGCCUCUUGCCAUCGGAUGUGCCCAGAUGGGAUUAGCUAGUAGGUGGGGUAACGGCUCACCUAGGCGACGAUCCCUAGCUGGUCUGAGAGGAUGACCAGCCACACUGGAACUGAGACACGGUCCAGACUCCUACGGGAGGCAGCAGUGGGGAAUAUUGCACAAUGGGCGCAAGCCUGAUGCAGCCAUGCCGCGUGUAUGAAGAAGGCCUUCGGGUUGUAAAGUACUUUCAGCGGGGAGGAAGGGAGUAAAGUUAAUACCUUUGCGCAUUGACGUUACCAGCAGAAGAAGCACCGGCUAACUCCGUG
rnacentral:rRNA from 1 species